rnacentral:rRNA from 1 species
UACGGGGGGGGGCAAGCGUUAUCCGGAUUCACUGGGUUUAAAGGGUGCGUAGGUGGGCAAGUAAGUCAGUGGUGAAAUCUCCGGGCUUAACCCGGAAACUGCCAUUGAUACUAUUUGUCUUGAAUACUGUGGAGGUCAGCGGAAUAUGUCAUGUAGCGGUGAAAUGCUUAGAUAUGACAUAGAACACCAAUUGCGAAGGCAGCUUACUACGGAUAUAUUGACACUGAGGCACGAAAGCGUGGGGAUCAAACAGG